rnacentral:rRNA from 1 species
GAUGAACGCUGGCGGCGUGCCUAAUACAUGCAAGUCGAACGCUUCACUUCGGUGAAGAGUGGCGAACGGGUGAGUAAUACAUAAGUGACCUGGCAUCUACAGGGGGAUAACUGAUGGAAACGUCAGCUAAGACCGCAUAGGUGUAGAGAUCGCAUGAACUCUAUAUGAAAAGUGCUACGGGACUGGUAGAUGAUGGACUUAUGGUGCAUUAGCUGGUUGGUAGGGUAACGGCCUACUAAGGCGACGAUGCGUAGCCGACCUGAGAGGGUGACCGGCCACACUGGGACUGAGACACGGCCCAGACUCCUACGGGAGGCAGCAGUAGGGAAUUUUCGGCAAUGGGGGAAACCCUGACCGAGCAACGCUGCGUGAAGGAAGAAGUAAUUCGUUAUGUAAACUUCUGUCAUAGAGGAAGAACGGUGGAUAUAGGGAAUGAUAUCCAAGUGACGGUACUCUAUAAGAAAGCCACGGCUAACUACGUGCCAGCCGCCGCAGUAA